GAACUACUGUAACAGUUCAGUGUGUUAUAGUGUCUCUAGGAGGUGAACUACUGUAACAGUUCAGUGUGUUAUAGUGUCUCUAGGAGGUGAACAACUGUAAUAGUUCAUUGUGUUAUAGUGUCACCAUCCAGGAGGUGAACUACUGAAAAGUUCAGUGUGUUAUAGUGUCACUAGCAUGUGAACUACUGUAACAGUUAAGUGUGUAAUAGUGUCACCAUCCAGGAGGUGAACUACUACAACAGUUCAGUGUGUUAUAGUGUCUCACUCUACAUGGUGAACUACUGUAACAGUACAGUGUGUUAUAGUGUCACUAGGAGGUGAACUACUGUAACAGUUCAGUGUGUUUUAGUGAGUUUGUUAUAGUGUCACUAUCUAGGAGGUGAACCAUUAUAACAGUUCAGUGUGUUAUAGUGUCUCUAUCUAGGAGGUGAACUACUGUAACAGUUCAGUGUGUUAUAGUGUCUCUAGGAGGUGAACUACUGUAACAGCUCAGUGUGUUAUAGUGUCUCUUGUAGGUGAACUACUGUAACAGUUCAGUGUGUUAUAGUGUAUCUUGGAGGUGAACUACUGUAACAGUUCAGUGUGUUAUAGUG
rnacentral:lncRNA from 1 species